GCCUGACGAAAGUUCAUUCGGUUGUUUCGGGAUUGUUCUUAAAUACUCGGAUACAUCGGGAUUUUUCAAUCUCAAAAUUCUGAAAAUCAAGUGAAGGCUGCUUGGAGUUUGCAUGCAGCAAAAAAAAGUGAAACCUUUGGGGGAACAACGUAAAAGUAGCAUGUUCUGACAGAAUAUUAGACUUAAGUGAAAUGUUUUUGACAUUUCUUUUGAAAAAGGUCAAAAUGGCUGCCGUUGAUAUGGACACAGCAAAAUUUGAAAAGUGAAGCAUUUACGGUCCUUCAACAAUGAGAAAAAUCAAAUGCAUUAUAUUUAGU
rnacentral:lncRNA from 1 species